AUUGAACGCUGGCGGCAGGCCUACACAUGCAAGUCGAGCGGAUGAAGGGAGCUUGCUCCCUGAUUCAGCGGCGGACGGGUGAGUAAUGCCUAGGAAUCUGCCUGGUAGUGGGGGACAACGUUUCGAAAGGAACGCUAAUACCGCAUACGUCCUACGGGAGAAAGCAGGGGACCUUCGGGCCUUGCGCUAUCAGAUGAGCCUAGGCCGGAUUAGCUAGUUGGUGAGGUAAUGGCUCACCAAGGCGACGAUCCGUAACUGGUCUGAGGGGAUGAUCAGUCACACUGGAACUGAGACACGGUCCAGACUCCUACGGGAGGCAGCAGUGGGGAAUAUUGGACAAUGGGCGAAAGCCUGAUCCAGCCAUGCCGCGUGUGUGAAGAAGGUCUUCGGAUUGUAAAGCACUUUAAGUUGGGAGGAAGGGUUGCUGAUUAAUACUCUGCAAUUUUGACGUUACCGACAGAAUAAGCACCGGCUAACUCUGUGCCAGCAGCCGCCGUAACAC
rnacentral:rRNA from 1 species